UACAGAGGGGGCAAGCGUUGUUCGGAAUUACUGGGCGUAAAGGGCGCGUAGGCGGCCUUCUAAGUCGAACGUGAAAUCCCCGGGCUCAACCCGGGAACUGCGUCCGAUACUGGAAGGCUUGAAUCCGGGAGAGGGAUGCGGAAUUCCAGGUGUAGCGGUGAAAUGCGUAGAUAUCUGGAGGAACACCGGUGGCGAAGGCGGCAUCCUGGACCGGUAUUGACGCUGAGGAGCGAAAGCAUGGGGAGCAAACAGG
rnacentral:rRNA from 1 species